rnacentral:lncRNA from 1 species
CAUCAAAAAUUUAUUUUAGUGCAGCAUUGUUAUUGUAUACCCAUUUGUUCCAUUUUUUCAUUCAUUUCUCCAUUCACCCAUCCAGUAAUUUAUUUAUCAAAUAGUUAAUGAACCUGAUACAUUUCAGACACUGUGGUAGGUAGCAGGGAUACAAAGCUGAAUAAAUCACAUUCCUUCAUUCAAAGAGAGAAAAACUCUAGAGACAUACUAUUCAAGUAAAUUUAUUUUAACAGGGAAAAGGAGGCAGAUUGCAUUAUUGUUUGCAAAUAUUCAUUCAGCUUUUUAAUAAAAAGAUUGGUCUUCCUUACCUAGUGAGUGCUUCCUCCCACUGCUGUUGAAUUGAUCCAGUUGACUUGCUUUGUCAGAUGCCAUGUGACUAUAUGUCAUGAGCACUAAAUUCAAGAAGCAACCAUAAAUGGUAUUUAAUGUUUCUGCUGAUUUUUUUCUUUUUCUCUUGCUAUAGGGAUGUUAAGGUCAAAAAGGGGCUUGUUUCAGUUCAAUCUGAAUCUCAGCAUGGAUAAGAAGGCAGAAUUAUUGUGUUGUGGCCUAGACACAUUUGCUGAAGUUUCUAUAUGAAGAAACUAAGGUAAGGUCUCUGAAACCAUUCCAGUUGGUACUAUAGAUGAUUAUUCCAGAAAGAACUGUAGUUUCACUGUUUAUGCAUGUUAGCAGAACAAGCAGGAAUGGAAGAUAAUCCAUAUAGUGGUAUUAUUGGAAUCGCAUGAAUCUCUAUAGUCUUUCAUGCUAUGCAGUUUCAAAGAUGUAUUAUUAUGAUCAUUUUUCUCAGUUUGGCUCUCUAUGAUAUUUAGCAUUGCUGUUAUCACUAAUAUGUAGACUCACUACAUUCUGCCUAUGGAACCAUAUUGUAUUCCUGGCAUUUGUCUUAAAUAAUCUCUAGGAGCUGGUUUUGUGGCAUGGUGGGUAAAGCUUCUGGCUGCAGUGCUGGCAACCCAUGUGGGCAUAGGUUUGAGGCCUGGAUGCUCCACU